rnacentral:rRNA from 1 species
CCUACGUGCGGCAGCAGUGAGGAAUAUUGGUCAAUGGGCGUGAGCCUGAACCAGCCAAGUAGCGUGAAGGAUGACUGCCCUACGGGUUGUAAACCUCUUUUAUCAAGGAAUAAAGUGAGGCACGUGUGCCUUUUUGUAUGUACCUUAUGAAUAAGGAUCGGCUAACUCCGUGCCAGCAGCCGCGGUAAUACGGGGGAUCCGAGCGUUAUCCGGAUUUAUUGGGUUUAAAGGGAGCGUCGAUGGGUUGUUAAGUCAGUUGUGAAAGUUUGCGGCUCAACCGUAAAAUUGCAAUUGAUACUGGCAGGCUGGAGUACAGUAGAGGUAGGCGGAAUUCGUGGUGUAGCGGUGAAAUGCUUAGAUAUCACGAAGAACUCCGAUUGCGAAGGCAGCUUACUAAACUGCAACUGACAUUGAUGCUCGAAAGUGUGGGUAUCAAACAGGAUUAGAUACCCGGGUAGUC